GACGAACGCUGGCGGCGUGCUUAACACAUGCAAGUCGAACGGUAAGGCCCUUCGGGGUACACGAGUGGCGAACGGGUGAGUAACACGUGGGUGAUCUGCCCUGCACUUCGGGAUAAGCCUGGGAAACUGGGUCUAAUACCGGAUAGGACUCCUGGCUUCAUGGUUGGGGGUGGAAAGCUUUUGCGGUGUGGGAUGGGCCCGCAGCCUAUCAGCUUGUUGGUGGGGUAAUGGCCUACCAAGGCGACGACGGGUAGCCGGCCUGAGAGGGUGACCGGCCACACUGGGACUGAGAUACGGCCCAGACUCCUACGGGAGGCAGCAGUGGGGAAUAUUGCACAAUGGGCGCAAGCCUGAUGCAGCGACGCCGCGUGAGGGAUGACGGCCUUCGGGUUGUAAACCUCUUUCAGCUAUGACGAAGCGCAAGUGACGGUAGUAGCAGAAGAAGGACCGGCCAACUACGUGCCAGCCGCCGCGGUAACAC
rnacentral:rRNA from 1 species